rnacentral:rRNA from 1 species
CCCUUAGAUGUUCUGGGCUGCACGCGCGCUACACUGAUGCGUUCAACAAGUUGGACCUUGUCCGAGAGGAAAUCGGGGGAAUCUUUUGAAAACGUAUCGUGAUGGGGAUAGAUUAUUGUAAUUAUUAAUCUUCAACGAGGAAUUCCUAGUAAGCAUGAAUCAUCAGCUCGUGCUGAUUACGUCCCUGCCCUUUGUACACACCGCCCGUCGCUCCUACCGAUUGAGUGAGCCGGUGAAUUAACCAGAUUGUGGCGAGGGUAGUUUUCUGCUAUUGCUACGAAAAGGUUUGUGAACCUUAUCACUUAGAGGAAGGAGAAGUCGUAACA